rnacentral:rRNA from 1 species
CGUUACAGCCAUAUCACCCUGCAGCCCAAGACCAGUUACUCACUGAAGCUAAGCAGGGCUGAGCCUGGUCAGUAUCUCGAUGGGAGAACACAUGGGAAAAUUAGGUUGCUGUUGGAA